GAAUAGCAUCUCGGAAAGUUUUUGUAAGGAUCCCAUGACAUUUAUCACAAGAAGCACUAAACACAGUGUCUUGCAGACAAUGACCUUGAGGUCCAUAGAGUCAUUAUUAUUGCCACUUAAUCAUCCUGAUAGCCAGUCUCUGAAACCAAGCUUUAAGUCAAAUGACAGUGAUGGAUAUUAAAACAUAAUGUCCCAAGUGAGUUCCAAGAGGCACGUCACCUACGCUGCAGGAGAUACUUCCACUGGAAACUAUACUUCACUCAUCCUGUCUUUUGCUUUUCCAGUGGGACAUUUCUGCUGAGUUCUCAGUAGCAGAAAACCAAAGGGAUACAGGUUGAUAUUUGUAUUUGUGCCCAGCUGCUUUGACCUGCUUACUCUAAGAAUUAGAGGGAUGAAACUCUAGGAAUUAGACCUUCAUGGAAGCUGGUCUUAUGUCAUUUAACAAUGGUAGGGCAAGUUAAGGGGUGGUUUUCAUGAAAUAAUUCAGAAAAAUUCCUGUUUUCUUCAGCAGGAAACACGCUGGCCCCAGAAAGAAGAUGUUCAUAUUGCAACCUAGCUAUAUUUGUUAAUAUUGUCAUACAUUUGAAAGUGUUAUUUUUCAAUUUCCCCAUGAUGCUUUUCUUAUACUAAAUAGUAUUCUCCCUACUCACCCUGCACAGGCUUUGGAGUAUAACAAUGAACUACUCACUGUAAACAAUUAAGAAAAUACAGAGAAGUAUAAAGAAGAAAAAUAACCACCCAUGAAUAUGUACAAUUAAGAUUUUGUUAUAGAUUCAUUUUUCAACAAUUAAUUCAUGUGCCUACCCUGUGCCCUCGUGAUUUUUCACUCUGUUAUACAUGUGUGUAUAUUUACAUAUUUAAUUUAAAUUAAAAAACUGGUAUGGCAGUGUUUAAUUUCAUAUCCUCUCUUUUUCAUUUAAGCCAGAGGCUCACAGGAUCAGCUUUUGACAAUAUCAUUUUUAGGACGUGCGUAACAAUUCAUCAGGUAUUCAGUUUCAAGGAUCUCACUCAGAGCUGGCCCUCUGUGAAUGUUGCUGAUAGGUGCCUGACUGCACAGAGCUGAUGGUGACAAAGGUAAACACCACAUUAAACACACACACACACACACAC
rnacentral:lncRNA from 1 species